rnacentral:rRNA from 1 species
ACGGAGGGUGCAAGCGUUAUUCGGAAUUACUAGGUGUAAAGGGCGUGUAGGCGGUUUGAUAAGUUAGAUGUGAAAUCUCAUAGCUCAACUGUGAGCCUGCAUCUAAAACUGUCAGACUUGAGUAUGGAAGGGGAAAACGGAAUUUCUAGUGUAGCGGUGGAAUGUGUAGAUACUAGAAGGAACAUCGAUGGCGAAAGCGGUUUUCUGGUCUAAUACUGACGCUAAGGCGCGAAAGCUAGGGGAGCAAACAG